ensembl:misc_RNA Y_RNA Y RNA
GAUUGGUCCAAUCGCAGUGGGUUAUCAUAACAUAUUAACAUGUAGUGUCACUAAAGUUGGUAUACAGCCCACUACUGCUAAAUUUGAAUGGCUUAC